rnacentral:rRNA from 1 species
GACGAAGGUGGCGAGCGUUGUUCGGAAUCACUGGGCGUAAAGCGCACGUAGGUGGCGGCGUAAGUCGGGUGUGAAAUCCCUCGGCCUAACCGAGGAACUGCGCCCGAUACUGCGUUGCUUGAGGGUCAAAGGGGUGCAUGGAAUUCCCGGUGGAGCGGUGAAAUGCGUUGAUAUCGGGAGGAACGCCGGCGGCGAAAGCGGUGCACUGGUUGACUUCUGACACUCAUGUGCGAAAGCCAGGGGAGCAAACGGG